AGCGACUCGAGAGUUUGCACUUAGCUCAAUAAUUAGAUCGUCUCUGGGAAGCUCAUCUGCUUUUCUACAACCAUCCGCCGCUGUGGUGAUUCCCUGUGAACGAUCCCUCCGAGAGAGUGACCCUCACCCGCAGUUCGAACCCUGGACUCGCGCAAUGGGUCAUCAAUAAGAUCGGGAAACAUUGGAACGUGGAACAGUGAACAUGUGACUCCUUCCACUCCGCUCCGCUCGGCAGUAAGAUAACGAUAUCCACGCUCGGGGACUCUCUGACAGCACCAACCAACCCAAAC